GUCACCUAGGAAUCUUGUUAAAAUGUAGAUUCCAUUUGAGUUCAUCUGGGAUGGUGCCGAGAUUGUAAAUUUUUAACAAGCUCCUAAGUGAUGCUGG
rfam:Nomascus leucogenys chromosome 3, whole genome shotgun sequence.